rnacentral:rRNA from 1 species
AUUGAACGCUGGCGGCAUGCCUUACACGUGCAAGUCGAACGGCAGCACGGGAGCAAUCCUGGUGGCGAGUGGCGAACGGGUGAGUAAAGUAUCGGAACGUGCCCAGUCGUGGGGGAUAACGUAGCGAAAGUUACGCUAAUACCGCAUACGAUCUAUGGAUGAAAGCGGGGGAUCGCAAGACCUCGCGCGAUUGGAGCGGCCGAUAUCAGAUUAGGUAGUUGGUGGGGUAAAGGCUCACCAAGCUGACGAUCUGUAGCUGGUCUGAGAGGACGACCAGCCACACUGGGACUGAGACACGGCCCAGACCCCUACGGGAGGCAGCAGUGGGGAAUUUUGGACAAUGGGCGCAAGCCUGAUCCAGCCAUGCCGCGUGCAGGAUGAAGGCCUUCGGGUUGUAAACUGCUUUUGUACGGAACGAAAAGGUUUGACUUAAUACGUUGGACUCAUGACGGUACCGUAAGAAUAAGCACCGGCUAACUACGUGCCAGCAGCCGCAGUAA